rnacentral:lncRNA from 1 species
GUAGCGACAUCUUGUGGUUUCUUGCGAUAUAACGUUGUUUUUAUAUUUUACCCGCAGGAAAUCACAGAUGGCGCUGCAGGGUUAUCGAUGGGCCCGAAUAUUUUUUGAUUAUUUUAUUUUCUUCUAAAUUAUUAUAUUAAAAUUAUCUGCAACAUUUAUUUUUGAUAUAUUAUAAUUAUAUUGUUUAAAUUUUGGGAUCAAACAAGUCGAUCGAUUGUUGUCGUUGAUUCGGCGAAUUUAUGGUUUGGUAGAUUUUUUCUAGUUUGGCAACUUUGUUCGUGGUUCUUGUGUCAGACUGACAGCUGGCUGAGCUGAGAGACAGGUUAUGGAAAGUGGGGACGUCGCGAGAGCGCCGGAGACUCCACUGCCGUAACAAUAAUGUGGGCAAAUUAAAAGCCACGAUUUAUCGGCGACAUCAAGAGCCGAUGUCUCGAUUUAAAUAAAUAGCUUAACCGAGAUGGUGAGUCCUCGCAAUUCUUCGUGCAUAUUUUUGCACCAACUUUGUGAUAACCUCGAGGUCCUUGUUUUCAGCAACAUCACUGAAAUCCCAUCGCCUAAGGUCCAGUGGGUGGGUUUAGGUUUCAUCCGAGCGAUGCCCAACUAUCCCGGAUGAACCUAUGGGGUUGUUUUUUUCUUUAAGUUUUAACGAUUUAAAGUUUUUAACGUCGAACGUUUUGCAAGUUUUAAUCUAAGAAGAAGUUUAUGAUUGGAUCAGACUAUUUCCACAAAUUUUGUGAAUGAAGAUUGCUACUGUUUUCUUCUGCGUUUGCAAGUUAUUUCAAGCUUCAUUUCGGCGGAGCUUGCCUUGGUUGUUUGCACGUCGAAGCUUUCCUUUGUGCGGCGCGCAUGUGGAUGUGCCGUGCCUCUCCUUUUGUCAACACACCGGAUAAGGCCCGGUGAAGGUCUGCGAGGUUGACCGGUGGACGUGCAGCCCGCCAGCUGCGUAACAGUUGGCCCGCUGCGCCGCCAUCGUCCAGCACGCCCUGGCCUGAGCCGGCCUCAACUCAUCACCUGUACGGUAUUCCGGAACGCCUCAGGUAGGCCUGAUAGUCGGAGGUCCUCGAGUAAGUGAGGUGCCUACAGGUGUACGGACAGUGUUUUUAAAUAUAGUGAUAUCCCAUGGUUGUUACGGAGUGACAAUUAACCUGACGGACCAAAGCGCGACCUGUCUCCCUCCAUAGGGUUUUUGACCUACCUAUGGUUAAUGAAAUUUGUAGAUUUAAAAAUAUACAUUGUACAAAUUCAA